CUGAAGCGCAAGAGAUGACACUAUGUGUAAAGACGAUCAUAAUUCGAUAUGGUCAAAAAGCGUCGAUUAUCGUUUUAUUUAUCUGGUAAUGAUGUUUUCACUUCAUCAUAAUUUUAAACAUUAACAACUAGGCUGAGAACAAUAGUUGAAAUGUAAAUCAGAAUAAAUUAUAUUCAUGUGAAGUAAAAUAAAUUCCAUUAUACUCUAUUUUGACCAUAUGAUCAACACUUAUACAUAGUGCCAUUUAUUUUGUGUUCUUCACUCUCGCGCUGUGUUGUGAUCGUUCGAAACUCAUUGCCAGAACGAAUGCAAAUUUCAUUUUGGAAGGAUUGGUGCUGGAAGAUGCAACGAAAAUCAUUAAAUGGUAAUAGAAAAGUGGUUAAGUAAAUCGUGAAAGAUGUCAACGCAGGCGUAAGUGCAGUUUGUUUUGUUACAUGAUCUACGGGUAAGUGCAUGCAUAAGAAGAAGAAUCUUGCAAAUGAUGUUUGUGUUCUAACAAUCGUACUGCUUUUAAUGUUUGUUUAUUCUUCUAUUAUUUUCCAUCACACCUAGCUAUUUCAUUGCCAAAGCUCCUGAUAACAGAUCAAAGCAGAUGGAUCGGGCAUACAGAGUCGCCAUUUAACAUUAAAUAUCUUCUUGAUCGGCAAACACAUCAAACACCAAGUGUUUCUCUUCCAACAGCACGCGCCAUUGGUGGAGCAAGCAGCCAACGAUUUUAUCGCCAGUACGCGCCAUCAAGAAUUGAUAUUUUGCCAAACAGUACUGUGAAUAAAAAACUGCACACUUACUGUCGGAA